rnacentral:rRNA from 1 species
GCCAUGGAGAGUUUGAUUCUGGCUCAGGAUGAACGCUGGCAACAUGCUUAACACAUGCAAGUCGAACGGAGUUUUUUUUUUAGCUUGCUAAAAAAAAAGCUUAGUGGCGAACGGGUGAGUAACACGUGGAAAUCUACCUUAUGGUGAGGAACAACUUUUGGAAACGAAAGCUAAUACCUCAUAAGCUGAGAAGUAAAAGUCUUUUUAUUGAGAGAUGCCGUAAGAGGAGUCUGCGCCUGAUUAGCUUGUUGGUAAGGUAAAGGCUUACCAAGGCGACGAUCAGUAGCUGGUCUGAGAGGAUGAACAGCCACAUUGGGACUGAGAACGGCUCAAACUCCUACGGGAGGCAGCAGUGAGGAAUUUUCCGCAAUGGGCGAAAGCCUGACGGAGCAAUGUUGCGUGAAGGAUGACGGGUUAUGGCCUGUAAACUUCUUUUGCUAGAGAAGAAUAAAUGACGGUAUCUAGCGAAUAAGCGUCGGCUAACUUCGUGCCAGCAGCCGCGGUAAUACGAGGGACGCAAGUGUUAUCCAGAAUGAUUGGGCGUAAAGCGUCUGUAGGUGAUUUCAAAAGUCUUCUGUUCAAUCACACGGCUCAACCGUGUGCCCGCAGUUGAAACUCUGAAAUUCGAGUAGAACAGAGGCGAGGGGAAUUCCCAGUGGAGCGGUGAAAUGCGUAGAUAUUGGGAAGAACACCGAGAGCGAAAGCACCUCGCUGGGUUCAUACUGACACUGAGAGACGAAAGCUAAAGGAGUGAAUAGGAUUAGAUACCCUAGUAAUUUUAGCCGUCAACGAUGAAAACUAGGUGUUGGGCUAUACAUAUGCUCAGUGCCGUAGCUAACGCGUUAAGUUUUCCGCCUGGGGAGUACGCUCGCAAGGGUGAAACUCAAAGAAAUUGGCGGGGACCUGCACAAGCGGAGGAGUAUGCUGUUUAAUUCGAUGCAACACGAAGAACCUUACCGAGGCUUGACAUGUCAUGAAUUUGUUCGAAAGAAUAAAGUGCUUUAGGGAACAUGAACACAGGUGGUGCAUGGCUGUCGUCAGCUCGUGCCGUGAGGUGUUGGGUUAAGUCCCGCAACGAGCGCAACCCUUAUCUUUAGUUAAAAACUCUAGAGAGACUGCCAGUGAUAAAUUGGAGGAAGGUGAGGAUGAAGUCAAGUCAGCAUGCCCCUUAUGUCUCGGGCUACAAGCGUACUACAAUGGAUGAGACAAAGAGAAGCAAACCUGCGAAGGGGAGCAAACCUCAAAAACUCAUUCUCAGUUCGGAUUGCAAACUGCAACUCGUUUGCAUGAAGGUGGAUUCGCUAGUAAUCGCUGGUCAGCUAUACAGCGGUGAAUACGUUCUCAGGUCUUGUACACACCGCCCGUCACACUAUGGAAGUUGACCAUACCCAAAGCCAUUACCUUAACCUUUGGAGAGGGAUGUCUAAGGUAGGGUGAGUAACUGGAGUGAAGUCGUAACAAGGUAGCAGUACUGGAAGGUGCGGCUGGAUUACCUCCUUU